rnacentral:tRNA from 1 species
UGGGGAGUCGUCUAGUGGUAGGACACGGGACUCUGGAUCCCGUUGCGAGGGUUCGAAUCCUUCCUCCCCAGCCA